rnacentral:rRNA from 1 species
AGGUUAAGAGGAUGCGUCAGUCGCAAGAUGAAGCGUUGAAUUGAAGCCCGAGUAAACGGCGGCCGUAACUAUAACGGUCCUAAGGUAGCGAAAUUCCUUGUCGGUUAAAUACCGACCUGCAUGAAUGGCGUAACGAGAUGGGAGCUGUCUCAACCAGAGAUUCAGUGAAAUUGUAGUGGAGGUGAAAAUUCCUCCUACCCGCGGCAAGACGGGAAGACCCCGUGGACCUUUACUACAACUUAGCACUGCUAAUGGGAAUAUCAUGCG